rnacentral:rRNA from 1 species
AGAACGAACGCUGGCGGCAUGCCUAACACAUGCAAGUCGAACGAGACCUUCGGGUCUAGUGGCGCACGGGUGCGUAACGCGUGGGAAUCUGCCCUUGGGUUCGGAAUAACAGUUAGAAAUGACUGCUAAUACCGGAUGAUGUCUUCGGACCAAAGAUUUAUCGCCCAAGGAUGAGCCCGCGUAAGAUUAGGUAGUUGGUGGGGUAAAGGCCUACCAAGCCGACGAUCUUUAGCUGGUCUGAGAGGAUGAUCAGCCACACUGGGACUGAGACACGGCCCAGACUCCUACGGGAGGCAGCAGUGGGAAUAUUGGACAAUGGAC